rnacentral:ncRNA from 1 species
UAUGCCUUAUAUCAGAUGGGAAACAUGGGAAAUGGUGUUUCCAAUGACAAAUGGGUGAGUAACACAUAAGAACCUACACUUAGAAAUGGAACAAUAGUUGGAAAUAACUGCUAAUACCCAUACGCUGAGGAGCAAAAGAAGGACUCUGCUCGAGAAGGGCCUCACAUUUAAUUUUCUAGUUAUAGAGGUAAUAUCUUACCAAGGCGAUGAUCAGUAGCUGGUCUGAGAGGAUGAUCUGCAAUAAUGGGACUGAGGCACGACCAUUAAUCCUAUGAGAGGUAGUAGUGGGGAAUUUUCUGUAGUUGGGAAAGGCUACUCAGAG